CCUACGGGGGGCUGCAGUGGGGAAUAUUGGACAAUGGGCGAAAGCCUGAUCCAGCCAUGCCGCGUGUGUGAAGAAGGCCUUCGGGUUGUAAAGCACUUUCAGUGGGAAGAAAGCCUUGGGGCUAAUACCCUCGAGGAAGGACAUCACCCACAGAAGAAGCACCGGCUAACUCCGUGCCAGCAGCCGCGGUAAUACGGAGGGUGCGAGCGUUAAUCGGAAUUACUGGGCGUAAAGCGCGCGUAGGCGGUCUGAUAAGCCGGUUGUGAAAGCCCCGGGCUCAACCUGGGAACGGCAUCCGGAACUGUCAGGCUAGAGUGCAGGAGAGGAAGGUAGAAUUCCCGGUGUAGCGGUGAAAUGCGUAGAGAUCGGGAGGAAUACCAGUGGCGAAGGCGGCCUUCUGGACUGACACUGACGCUGAGGUGCGAAAGCGUGGGUAGCAAACAGGAUUAGAUACCCCAGUAGUC
rnacentral:rRNA from 1 species